ACUGAAGUGUUAGAACAGGAAAUGCACAAAUGCAUGACAGCAUUUGUGGGAUUUGGUUUUGAAAAGAUAAUGAAUCGGAUUGAUGUGAAAAACACAGCACUCCCCAAACGAUGAUGCAAUAAGGGGGUGUGGUUUUCAGAUAGGAACAUUAUUUUGUCGAGUGGCUAACUCAAAACAUCUUAUACAGCAUACAUUUCACAAAGGAAAAUCUAAAUGGCUAAUUUUCUCAUCCUGUUCAUAUUUUUAAUUCUUCCUAAAGAUUUUAGUGAAGGUGUGUUGAUUACUCAGUGGCCAAAGUACAUCUCCAAUGUUGCGGGUUCUUCAGUGGUAAUGCACUGUUAUCAAAAUGACACAAACUAUGAUUACAAAUACUGGUACAGGCAAAUAAAAGAUGAAGGACCAGUGCUGAUUGUGAGUAUAAUUGGAACCGCUACCCCUUACGAGAAGGGUUUUGACACUGGCUUUAAAGCAUCAGGUACAGAGACAAAGAAAUGGUCUCUGGAGAUUGAUGUUAAGGAGGGAAGUGAUGCUGUGUAUCUAUGUGCUGCUAGACUACACGGUGACUAAAUGACAAUAAUCUAACGACAAAAAUCUUUUAUUAGGCCAAACCAACAAUAACACCUGCCUCAACCACAGCCUGGAAUCUAACCAUGUGAACUUAACAGAAUGUUAAUGCGUUAUUAAAUAGACAGUAGCAUGUUCCUAUAAAGAGGGGAAUUGGGAAUAACGUCAACUACUAACCAUUAAAACGAUUUAUACUUAUA